UACGUAGGGAGCAAGCGUUGUUCGGAUUUACUGGGCGUAAAGGGCGCGUAGGCGGCAGAUCAAGUCAGUUGUGAAAUCUCUGAGCUUAACUCAGAACUGUCAACUGAUACUGCUCUGCUAGAGUGCGGAAGGGCAAUCGGAAUUCUUGGUGUAGCGGUGAAAUGCGUAGAUAUCAGGAGGAACACCGGUGGUGUAGACGGCUCACUGGACCAUAACUGACGCUGAGACACGAAAGCGUGGGUAGCAAACAGG
rnacentral:rRNA from 1 species